rnacentral:rRNA from 1 species
UACGGAGGGGGCAAGCGUUAUUCGGAAUUAUUGGGCGUAAAGGGCGCGUAGGCGGCUUGACAAGUCAAAGGUGAAAUCCCUCGGCUCAACUGAGGAACUGCCUUUGAAACUGUCUGGCUUGAGGCCGGGAGGGGGUAGCGGAAUUCCCAGUGUAGCGGUGAAAUGCGUAGAUAUUGGGAGGAACACCAGUGGCGAAGGCGGCUCACUGGACCGGUACUGACGCUGAUGCGCGAAAGCGUGGGGAGCAAACGGG